UAGGGAAUAUUGGACAAUGGGGGCAACCCUGAUCCAGCCAUGCCGCGUGAGUGAAGAAGGCCCUCGGGUUGUAAAGCUCUUUUGUCCGGAAAGAAAAGCUUCGGGUUAAUACCCCGGGGUUCUGACGGUACCGGAAGAAUAAGCACCGGCUAACUUCGUGCCAGCAGCCGCAGUAAUACGAAGGGUGCAAGCGUUACUCGGAAUUACUGGGCGUAAAGCGUGCGUAGGUGGUUGUUUAAGUCUGAUGUGAAAGCCCUGGGCUCAACCUGGGAAUGGCAUUGGAAACUGGGCAGCUAGAGUGCGGUAGAGGGUAGUGGAAUUCCCGGUGUAGCAGUGAAAUGCGUAGAGACCGGGAGGAACAUCUGUGGCGAAGGCGACUGCCUGGACCAGCACUGACACUGAGGCACGAAAGCGUGGGGAGCAAACA
rnacentral:rRNA from 1 species